rnacentral:lncRNA from 10 species
GACAUCUUGGUUGCUCCCAGUUUGGGCAAUUAUGAACAAAGCUGCUAUGAACACCCAUGGACAGGUCUGUGUAUGGAUACCAAGGAGCACAAUUGCUGGAUCAUAUGCUAAGAGUACAUUUAGCUUUGCAAGAAACUGCCAAACUGCCUUCCAACAAGACUGUGCCAUUUUGCGUUCCCACCAGCAAUGAACGAGAAUUCCUGUUGCUCCACAUCCUUGCCAGCAUUUGGUGUUAUCAGUAUUCUGGAUUUGGGCCAUUCUACUAGGUGUCUCUCUGUGCUCAGCCCUCCCUCUGGGGAGGCUGAGUUGUCACUUCCCCAUCAGAGGAAGACAAUCUGUCUCUGACCAGUGUCCUGGCUAAGAUGGGGCCCCGGUGGAGGUGUGUGAGCAGAUGACUCAGAGACUCUUCUUCAUAUUAAAAUAUUCCAGUAAUUAUGUCAGGGCCGAUCCGGCUCACGCAUGGCACUUUACAAAAGAUACACAAAUCGUGGCCCAGUAGGCUCUGGGCCAGAACACACGCAAGGCACCGGCGUGCUCCACAGCACCGCGGGCGGAUCAGAGCAUCUCCAGCCUGUCAAAGACCCACUCCUCUGUAUCUCUCCACGGGAGACAAGCCAUUUGCCGGAGCCACAUAAUGGAGCAUUCAGCCUUUGAAUUGCCACUUCUCUGAAGACUCUACAGGGCUAUGAGGGUGACUGCCUCAGGCCGGGAGGAAGGGAGGAAGCAGAGGAAACAGAGACCCAGGGACACGCAGGAGACGAUGCCUUAUGCCAACUGAGGCCGAGAGUGGAGUGACAUCUAUAAGCCACGGCACACUGGCCACCGCCGGAAGCUGCAAGAGGCAAGGCAGCUUCCUCCCCCCGGAGCCGUCAGAGAGCGCAAGGCCCUGCCCGCGCCUUGAUUUCAGACUCCAGCCUCCAGAACGUGAGACAACUUUCUGUUGUUUUUACCUCCACCCCCUCUCCAGUUUGUGUCACUUUGUUAAGGCAGCCCUAGGAAAUGAAUACUCCCUCCCACCCACUUCUCUUUGCCUCCACUCUGCUGGAGUGCCGGGCCUGGAUGGGGAACAGGCCUGGCAGGGUUGCCCCUGGGACUACCCAGGGUAGCCUGACUGAGCACCUAUGUAGGCAAAGAAAACAGAAGAAAACAAAACAAGACAUCUGGUAAAAUUUGAAUUUCAGAUCAACAACAAAUUAACUUUUUU